UUAUUACUAGUAUAAGUGAGUAUGCGAGUUUUCCAAACUCGAGGUUUACAUUAGAGUAGGUAAUAAA
rnacentral:tRNA from 1 species